UCGAGAAUAUUCCUCAAUGGGCGAAAGCCUGAAGGAGCGACGCCGCGUGUAGGACGAAGGGCUUCGGCUCGUAAACUACUUUUUUCAGGGAAGAACAUUGACGGUACCUGAAGAAUAAGAGGUUGCUAACUCUGUGCCAGCAGCAGCGGUAAUACAGAGACCUCAAGCAUUAUCCGGAUUUAUUGGGCGUAAAGGGUCCGCAGGUGGUCAUGUGCGUCGAUGGUUAAAUUUUCGGGCUCAACCCGGAAACUGCCGUCGAUACGGCACGACUAGAGGUCGGAAGAGGCGAGCGGAAUUACCGGUGUAGUAGUAAUAUGCGUUGAUAUCGGUAAGAACACCAAAUGCGUAGGCAGCUCGCUGGAACGCACCUGACACUCAGGGACGAAAGCGUGGGGAGCGAAAGGGAUUAGAUACCCCUGUAGUCC
rnacentral:rRNA from 1 species